UCAUGAAUCCUUAAUUCCAUUUGAACUCAGCAAUGCCACAGUCACUUUCCAUCAACCCGCCCACUCAGCUGAAUUGUACCAGCCUCUUCUUUGCAGAGCACCACAUUCGCGCUCUAAGAUUGAUUGGGUGUUGGGCCACUGCCACAAAGACAAAGGAGGUCAAACUCAACACCUGCAGUUUGCUUCUGACUUCUAAAGCAGAUGCUGAUGAAAUUUUCCGGGAUUUACCUGCAUAACCCAUGUCUAGUUGCAGUGGCUUCAUGGACACUUUAUCACAGAUGAUGCAGUGAAAUAUUAAUAACGUGUUACUCUCCUCUUUUAUCAGCACGGCAAAACAGUUGAAGCUGAAAUGACACAGUGAGGAUAGACCAGACUGAUGUGAAGCUAACCUCGUAUCAAGCCAUCUUCCUCACUCCCCAGCUUUGCUCUUCUCUAAGCAUGACUGGCGUGCUGGCCAAAUGUUCAACACAGAGUGCUGCUUGAGGCUCUAGAAGCUGCAACUAAGGAAGAUAGGGUAGCUGCUCACUGGGGCCAGAAAUAUGGGAUGAGUCAGAGAGCAAGUUGGAAUCCAGUGCCAAUUCAUGACCAAGCCGGAGGACCAGCCUAUUCUAGGACACACAUAUGAAGAUUGAUGUUGAGAAAUGUAGAACUUUCCAGGAAAAUCAAGAAUGGUGUGGAGACAGGAAUCCAUGGUCUGUGAGUAUAAAGCCCCAGAAAUUAAUUGUAGGAGCUCAUCCUGAUUCACCCAAGAUCACCCAGAAGCUGCAAGAAAAUGUUCUGUCAAAAUCUCAAAGGCUGGAGAUUGAAAUGGAGAAGAACCAGGGAAGGAUUAUUGGAAUUUAAAAGAGAAAUCUUGAAGAUGAAAUAAUUUGUGGGAAUGUUCUUGGACACUAUAUACUGUUGACCGGUGACAAGUCCUUGCUUCCCCAAUGUUGAAGUAUAACACCAGAGAAGCACACCGAGGCAAGGUCAGAGUGGAAGGUAGAAGUUUAUUAAAGGACAGCAGAAAAGACUUCUCCCGGAGGAAGAAGGGGACCCAAGAGAUGGAACUGAAAAACCAGCCUCUACCUCAGAGCAAAGCCUGACCAAGAAAGGGACAUGACCUUUGUCCUUGAAAAAACCCACAGAGCACUCCUAAGCACAUUCCCACCCUGCUAAGUUGUUUAUCUACAAAUAACAGGAGAGAUCUGCUGUGCCAGGUGUCCCUGACUCAGUCAGGCUAGGUGGGGAUCCAUAGCAACCCGCUAGCAGCCACCAAUCAGCAUGAGACAGGGAAAUACCUGGGAUGCCAGAUGACCCUCCCAGUAGUUUAUGGUGGUUGAUAACAUGAUGGGAAACCAUGUAGUUCAGCACGUACACCCCUCUUAGCUCAAACCAAUCAGUUCAAACCAAUACCCCUUUUGUUCUGACCAAUCACCCCUCCCCAACUUGUUCCCUCCAGUGAAUGUGCUAAUCAUGUUUUAGAGUUGUUAUUUGAUUUUCCCGCGGUGUGUGAUGAUUUGCUAUGAUGUAUGUGAAGUCCCUGCCCUCUCCAAAAAAUGUAUAAAAAUGCUGCAAACCCUGGGCUCGGGGCCUCUCAGCGUCACCAGUUGCUGUGUGUGUGUGGAGGACCGAGCUAGCUCGCAAUAAACACCUCUUUGCUGCUUACAUUGAUCUUGGGUCUCUGGUGGUCUUUGGGGGUCCUGAAUUCGAGCAUAACAGAAUCCGUGGAAGUAUGGUUGUCUCCCCAUUUUAUAGUUCCUUCAGUGAUGGAAUAUUGGUGGGAAGUCCUGAAGGGUGGAGCACAGGUGGGCCAAAGAAGUAAUCUGGGCAGGAAGGACUUUUGAGUCAGCAUCUUCAAGUUUGCUGGGAGCUGUUUCAUUAACACUUCUUUGGGAUGGGCUCUGGGCCUUGGGGACAUUAACAUUCCAUGAGUUGUCCUGCUUUUCCCGAAAUUCAUUCUCAACAUGGCCUCCAUUUUGGAUCUUACUCCAUAUUAGACCCGAUUUACUUAACUACACUGACUACCU
ensembl:lincRNA